rnacentral:rRNA from 1 species
CGCACGGGUGAGUAACGCGUAUCCAACCUUCCCAUUACUGUGGGAUAACCUGCCGAAAGGCAGACUAAUACCGCAUAGUCUUCGAUGACGGCAUCAGAUUUGAAGUAAAGAUUUAUCGGUAAUGGAUGGGGAUGCGUCUGAUUAGCUUGUUGGCGGGGUAACGGCCCACCAAGGCGAUGAUAGGUAGCCGGCCUGAGAGGGUGGACGGCCACAAGGGGACUGAGAUACGGCCCUUACUCCUACGGGAGGCAGCAGCG